GACGAACGCUGGCGGCGUGCUUAACACAUGCAAGUCGCGCGGAGCGGCGAACGGGUGAGUAACGCGUGAGUAACUGCCCCCCUCUCUGGGAUAACAGUUGGAAACGUCUGCUAAUACCUGAUAGUAGGGGAUGACUCGCGUCGUAUCAGCUUGUUGGUGGGGUAGUGGCCUACCAAGGCGACGACGGGUGGCCGGCCUGAGAGGGCGACCGGCCACAUGGGGCUGAGAUACGGCACAAACGCCUACUGGAGGCAGCAGGGGGGAAGAUUGCACAAUGGGGGAAACCCUGAUGCAGCAACGCGCGUGCGUGAGGACGUCCUUCUGGUUGUAAACCGCUUUCAGCCAUGACGCGGUAGUGGCAGAAGAAGCACCGGCUAACUACGUGCCAGCAGCCGCGGUAAUAC
rnacentral:rRNA from 1 species